rnacentral:rRNA from 1 species
AUUGAACGCUGGCGGCAGGCCUAACACAUGCAAGUCGAGCGGUAGAGAGGAGCUUGCUUCUCUUGAGAGCGGCGGACGGGUGAGUAAUGCCUAGGAAUCUGCCUGGUAGUGGGGGAUAACGUUCGGAAACGGACGCUAAUACCGCAUACGUCCUACGGGAGAAAGUGGGGGAUCUUCGGACCUCACGCUAUCAGAUGAGCCUAGGUCGGAUUAGCUAGUUGGUGAGGUAAAGGCUCACCAAGGCGACGAUCCGUAACUGGUCUGAGAGGAUGAUCAGUCACACUGGAACUGAGACACGGUCCAGACUCCUACGGGAGGCAGCAGUGGGGAAUACUGGACAAUGGGCGCAAGCCUGAUCCAGCCAUGCCGCGUGUGUGAAGAAGGUCUUCGGAUUGUAAAGCACUUUAAGUUGGGAGGAAGGUCAGUAGCUUAAUACGUUGCUGAUUUGACGUUACCGACAGAAUAAGCACCGGCUAACUCUGUGCCAGCCGCCGCUGUAAAAC